rnacentral:rRNA from 1 species
UACGAAGGGGGCUAGCGUUGUUCGGAAUUACUGGGCGUAAGGCGCACGUAGGCGGAUAUUUAAGUCAGGGGUGAAAUCCCAGAGCUCAACUCUGGAACUGCCUUUGAUACUGGGUAUCUUGAGUAUGGAAGAGGUAAGUGGAAUUGCGAGUGUAGAGGUGAAAUUCGUAGAUAUUCGCAGGAACACCAGUGGCGAAGGCGGCUUACUGGUCCAUUACUGACGCUGAGGUGCGAAAGCGUGGGGAGCAAACAGG